rnacentral:rRNA from 1 species
UACGUAGGGGCCUAGCGUUGUCCGGAAUUAUUGGGCGUAAAGAGCUCGUAGGCGGUUCGGCAAGUCGGAUGUGAAAUCUCCACGCUUAACGUGGAGGGGCCAUUCGAAACUGCUGUGACUCGAGUCCGGUAGGGGAGUGUGGAAUUCCCGGUGUAGCGGUGGAAUGCGUAGAGAUCGGGAAGAACAUCGGUGGCGAAGGCGGUCUGCUGGGCCGUUGCUGACGCUGAGGCGCGACAGCGUGGGGAGCAAACAGG